AAAAUUGUUUGAAAAUGAUUUGCAGCUUUAUUUUUUACAUCUCUAUAAUAAUACAGAUUCUAAAACUUUAGGACUUUUGUACUGUGUGACAUCAAGCUAAAUAAGAACUAUGAAAGAAAUCGUGGGAAACUGUUUGAAAAGACAUUUCCAUUAAUAGUGCCAUACUUUUCCUUGGAUCCCUGUCCCAUAAGUGUAACCGUAGCUUUGACUCAUACAGUAGAUUUACGUAAAAGUGAGAUGUUUUUUAGAGCCAGCUCGUUGCAUUAGCUAAUGCAUAGCUUGUGUUUGCCGUGUGAAUAACAACAACAAAAUCCAUUAAAUUCUAGGCGACGCACCGCUCUAUUUAGUCUGGCCAGGUUUGUGUUAGCACUUAAAUUUAAAGGAAUUCGCUGUGACAUAAUGAUAUUCCGCUUCCUUCAACUCCCACAGAUGCACAUGGUGAGUUAGCAUAAAAAAGCUUUUAUGUCUUUUUUUUCUUUUUCUUUUAAGAUUGACUUAUUUCUUACUUUUAAAAGAAGUCUGAACACACAGAAAACGUGCUGCAACUGACUUCCCUUCAGAGCCGGGUUAUUGCACGAGAAACGGCACCAAUUGGUCUUGAAAUAUGGAUUCAGAAAUGUAGAAAAAUAGUAAGAAAAGGAGCACAGGAGCAAUUGCAUGUCCACCUUCGGCUUCUUGUGUUACUGGCUUAAGUGACUCUUUAAUGAGGUUCAAAAUGACAGGCAUGUGGACCCCAUGUUGUGGCAAGGGGAGUUAUUUCUGGUAUUAAAAAUAGAUGCUGGAAGGCCUGGGGGGUCUCGGGGGGAGGUAGAUUUCCGCCGUGGGGGGUUUUAAAGCACCAAUGACCUUGCAGUUUGAGAGAAUUGGUGAGUGAAGGAGACAGAAAGAAUUAAAGUGAGAGAAACACACACACACACACACACACAGAGAUGGAAAGACAUGAGAAGUAGCUGAAGGUAGUGUGACUAGAGUGCCUAAAAAGUAAAAAUCCAAACAAAGUGACAAAAAAUAAAAGAAUCCAUUCAACACUACUGGAACAAACACCUUCUCUGACAAACGUAUGUUCAGUAACAUUCAGUCUCAAAGGCACAUGGUAAUGGUUUUGCUUUGUGGCUGCCUUUUUCUGUCUUUAUUCCUAAAAAGACUGCCUUUGCCUUUUGCCAUUAGUUUUUUUGGGGGGUUAUGGUAACAAUGCUAUUACAGUGGAAUAGCAGCUCGGCUAUGAGGGGUGACAGGAGACACGCCAUUUAAUGAGGUACUAAUUUUCAGGAUAACACCACAGGGAAUGAGCACUGCAUAUGAUUCAAAAUGGAUGCUUGCGAGCAGAUUAACAAUAGACUUUUAUCGGAAACCAGCUUCAAUUGUACUCUUAUUAAUUACUUAAUUACCAAUGGUAUUUGUCAUUAUUGCUAUCAUUGUCAUGAUUUAUUCUGUACACACCUUAACCUGGGAAAUGAGGAUCAACUUAUAUACUGGAUACUGUGUAUCCUGAGGUAGUCAACCAUAAAACAUGUAGUGUUAGGUUAGUAUCCGUUUUGUACCUUUCUGGAGGACAAAAGAAAAAAAUGAGAUACAUCAUUGUUAAAUCUGUAUAAUUAUUAUUGUUAUGAUGAUGAUGAUGAUGAUUAUGACUAUUAUUAUUAGGAAAACUUCUUGAUGUAAAUAGUGUUUGAUAUUAAAGUAUUAAUUUGGUUCUUAUGUCUUUUCUAAAAAACAAACAAACAAAUACCAUAUUAUCUCGGGGUUUUGCGGAGUGUGUACUGUCCUCAAACGAUGCAUUGUGUGUUUUGAUACUCAAUGCCUAAUGAAACUUUGAGCUAAUACACAGUGGAAACCUGUGGGCGCUGAACACGUAUCGGUGAACAGCAGGCUGGACUUUAGCCAACAGGAGGCUCAUCUCUUACAUGUUUCAAACCAGUCACCAACCACCACGUCUUCAUGUCAGGAUCCUGCCUUGAUAAGAAACAUUUGGGACUUAAUGGGUGGCCUAUUUGUACUUUUUUUUGCCUUCAGUGUUUGAAAGCAUGUUGGUCAGCUCAAAGAUCAGCCAUAACUGGACUGUUGGCUUUUUAAAAAGAAGGAUCUCACCAGUUUCAUUAUGUGGCAUGCGCAUGAACUUGAUGACAUGUUUAAAAAAAAUCAUUUGGAAAAAAAAAAAAGUUUUCUUCUGCUGUUAUUUUCUUUUCCUUUACGAUGUAUUAGAUUUUCAUGUUCAUGUUGUGCGAUUUCUUUUUUGGUUUUUUUUGCAUCCCCAUUUGAGUGCUGUCAUUAAACUGUGUAGUUACGCAAAUGUACAUAACAAAUAUCAUUUUUGUGAGGUUACAGUGGGGUCAGUCAUUUUGUAGUUCAAAAGCAACUUUAAGUUUUUUUUAAUAAGAAUGACUCUCUGUAUCCAUCUACUGAAGUCAUCCCAUGUAGCUGCACUCUGUCUUCUCUGA
ensembl:lncRNA